rnacentral:rRNA from 1 species
AUGAAGCGUGGCAAUGUAUGUACACUAGAAGACCACGCUUUCGCAGUUGGCAACAAGAAUGUUGGUCUGGGGUUCAAUUUGUUGAAACAGGAGCAUGUUGUCGUAGAGAUUUUCUAUCACUUGAAGGACUUCGAAUCUCGGCAGUAUUUCUUGACAUGCUCAGUCAUUGGACUCACGUCGAUCCAACACAACCUUGAACCGCAUCUGCCUAUAAAUAGCAUGCCACCUGCCUAUGUAGCAGGAGUUUUAUACUGGAUGAGUGAACCAAGGUUGAUGCAGAUUCAUAAGAGGGUCAUUGUAUCAUUUGACGUCACAAAAAUGAUGUUUGAUCUCGUCCCUUGCCCUUCACCCAUCGCAAUGUGGAGUGACACGAGUCCUUGCCAAGCAUUUGUGGUCGAGCUUGAGGGAAUGUUAUGUGCGGUCCUUGCAGAUCCGGUCACAGAAGAAUUAGAUAUUUGGAAGCUGGAGCAUGGAAUCUGGAACAGAGCGUACAAAGUCUAUUUGGAAGGUUGGUCAGGCUAUUCCCUUGCAGCAAACAUUGUGGUGCCGUUGAUUGUCGACCCCAGAGACGGGAGAAUAUUGGUCAACACGGGAAGAAAACUAGGUCUUUAUGAUCCGGCAAGGCGCAUGAUUGAGGACUUGUAUGAUCUUGAUGGGGUGCUGCAGGUCGCAUCUCGAGGGCAAUCUUCACGCCUUGGAAUGAAUCAAGAUGGACACAUUACGGAAGGCGAACAAUCUUUCAAAAAGUGUGUGGUUUCUUUGCAUGGAGAAAAUCCACUGGACAGUAAAAUCUUGCCGUUGGUCCCUUUGUUAUAUGAGGAGAGUCUGGCAAGUUAUCCUCCUACGCAGAGUUCAUGGGGUUUGCAGCAGUUAAAUCUUCGUUAG